rnacentral:rRNA from 1 species
UUAAACGUUUUGAGUCGGCGACCGGCGCACGGGUGAGUAACACGUAUCCAACCUGCCUCAUACUCGGGGAUAGCCUUUCGAAAGAAAGAUUAAUACCCGAUGUCAUAGUCCUACCGCAUGAUGGGAUUAUUAAAGAAUUUCGGUAUGGGAUGGGGAUGCGUUCCAUUAGUUAGUUGGCGGGGUAACGGCCCACCAAGACAACGAUGGAUAGGGGUUCUGAGAGGAAGGUCCCCCACAUUGGAACUGAGACACGGUCCAAACUCCUACGGAAGGCAGCAG